rnacentral:rRNA from 1 species
AAUUUUCGGCAAUGGGGGAAACCCUGACCGAGCAACGCCGCGUGAGUGAAGAAGGCCUUCGGGUUGUAAAGCUCUGUUGUAAGGGAAGAACGAUAGUGAGAGGGAAUGCUCAUUAUAUGACGGUACCUUACCAGAAAGCCACGGCUAACUACGUGCCAGCAGCAGCGGUAAUACGUAGGUGGCAAGCGUUAGCCGGAAUUAUUGGGCGUAAAGGGAGCGUAGGCGGUUUAUUAAGUUUAUGGUUAAAGUUCGGGGCUCAACCCCGUGAUGCCAUAGAAACUGGUAGACUUGAGUACAGGAGAGGUUAGUGGAAUUCCAUGUGUAGCGGUAAAAUGCGUAGAUAUAUGGAGGAACAUCAGUGGCGAAGGCGGCUAACUGGCCUGUAACUGACGCUGAGGCUCGAAAGCGUGGGGAGCAAAUA